AUUGAACGCUGGCGGCAUGCUUUACACAUGCAAGUCGAACGGUAACAGGGUGCUUGCACCGCUGACGAGUGGCGAACGGGUGAGUAAUGCGUCGGAACGUGCCGAGUAGUGGGGGAUAACGCAGCGAAAGUUGUGCUAAUACCGCAUACGUACUGAGGUAGAAAGGGGGGGACCUUCGGGCUCCACGCUAUUCGAGCGGCCGACGUCUGAUUAGCUAGUAGGUGAGGUAAAGGCUCACCUAGGCGACGAUCAGUAGCGGGUCUGAGAGGAUGAUCCGCCACACUGGGACUGAGACACGGCCCAGACUCCUACGGGAGGCAGCAGUGGGGAAUUUUGGACAAUGGGCGAAAGCCUGAUCCAGCCAUGCCGCGUGUCUGAAGAAGGCCUUCGGGUUGUAAAGGACUUUUGUCAGGGAGGAAAUCCCUAGUGCUAAUAACACUGGGGGAUGACAGUACCUGAAGAAUAAGCACCGGCUAACUACGUGCCAGCCGCCGCCGUAA
rnacentral:rRNA from 1 species